AUGCUGGCCAAAAUUCCUGGAAUGACAACCCUCAGGUCUCUGAUCCAUCCUGAGUCAUCUUUGGUAUCAGGUUCCUACCACCCUUAUAGAAGGAAACAAUACAGCAGAACAAAGUAACCGCUAUUCCAGAUGCCUCUUUCUGUUGCUUCUCAUCAUAUGCUACCACAUCCCAGAAAGCCUCAGCUAAGCAUUUGUCCCAGUUAUCACAGAAGGAAGAUGCAGUUUCUGGUAAUAUAUGAGUUUUAAUUCCACCAUAA